CUCUCCAAUAUCCAGUCCCUGAUGUGUUUCUGUUUUAACCGAAUUUAUUAGAAAGAGAAGAAAAUUUCAUUGUUAUGUUGGUAUCCUCUCUCUUGUGCGGUUAACGGUAGCUGUAUUAACUUUGUGCAUGCCAGGUGUUUGUGCAAUGGCUUCUAACAGUGAUGACAAGGAAGCAGCACCAAAGAAGACCUCAUUCUGCCAGAGGAACAAGUCUCGGAAUGGAAGCUUCGUCUCUACUCUUCGAAAUCACUUCCAUGAAUUUAUCCAUGCUCCCAUGGAUCAAAACAAGACAUGCUUGGCAGACACUUUUCAAAAGAUGAUGAAUGCAUCAAAGAAUUUCAGAAAGGAUGGUGACAGCCAAAAAUGAACCCUUCCAUCAUCUAACAGGAGUUAGAUGACUUUCUACUUUCUUCAAUCAUCACCAGAUCCAUUCUCUACUAAAAACGUUUCUGUUCUGUGAGUAAUUGCUGCCUUAGAACGCUUGAAUUUUAUUGGACUGUUGUAAAUUUGUAAUAUAGUUGCUUCUUGUUGCUUUUACGUGUUGAGUAAUUAGUACCACUUUUGUUGUUUAUUUCAUGGACUUCCCCAGUCUCUUCAAGAUUGUCAUUAAUGUUACUCUUUGAAUGCUUAAUACUGUAGUCACUAGUCAAAUUAAGCAUGGACCUUGUGGAAUUUCAGCCUUUUAUGUAUAAUUAGCCUGACAUUAGAUUCUAGUAAUUCAUCAAAAUACGAAUGAAGUUACUUAUGUGAAA